CAGUGAUGUCACAAGAGGUGACUGGGAGGAAGGUUCUGGAAGGCUGAAUGGGAUAGAAGGGCUGUUGGGAAGGGAAACUGCCUGCCUUCCUGCCUCUCAUCACCACCACCAUCCUGACGGUGACGAGGGCUGGGAAGGGGCAGCCCAUGUUCAGGUUUCCAGGAGAAGCAACUUGUUUAUCAUCUCUGUGGAAGAAGAAAACACCCUGAAUGCCUAGAUGACUCUGCAACCCAUGCUUUGCUGUGAUGGCCAGAACCAUACCUGGUGAAAAGUGGAAGCAUGGUGAAGAAUGGUCUCUGUAGACCCAGAAGGCCUGAAACCCAGACAACUCAAGAAGAGAAGGACGAGGACCUCAAAGUAGACAUGAGCCAAGAACAAGGUACUUUGUGCAAGAGAGAGAAAGUUACUCCUAGGCUGUGGACCAUUCACCGAGAUGGAGAAGUCCUUAUGAGGCUAUCGAAACAUGGGCCAGGCCAUGAGAGCCCCUUGACCAUCCCUGAAUUUUUUCGGGAGUCGGUCAACCGAUUUGGGUCUUAUCCAGCCCUAGCAUCAAAGAAGAAUGGAAGGUGGGAAGUUCUGAACUACAACCAGUACUAUGAGGCUUGUCGGAAGACUGCGAGAGCCAUGCUCAAGCUGGGGCUGGAGCCUUUCCACUCAGUUGGCAUCCUUGGGUUUAACUCCAUCGAGUGGAUCCUUGCAGCUCUUGGUGCCAUCUUUGCGGGGGGCUUCUGUGUUGGUAUUUAUGCCACCAACUUCGCGGACGCCUGUGAAUAUGUCAUUACUCAUGCCAAAGUGAACAUCCUGCUGGUGGAAAAUAAUGCACAGUUGCAGAAAAUUCUUUCGAUUCCGACGAACAAGAUGGAGACCCUAAAAGCGAUCGUUCAGUACAAGCCGCCCGUGGACGACAGCAAAUGUGAAAACCUGUACUCUUGGGAUGACUUCCUAGAACUUGGCAGUAGCAUUCCCGAUGCCCAACUGGACCAGAUCAUAAAAAGCCAGAAGGCCAAUCAGUGUGCUGUGAUCAUCUACACUUCAGGGACCACAGGCCAACCCAAGGGGGUGAUGCUCAGCCAUGACAAUAUCACGUGGACAGCGGGGUCGGUGGCGAAGGAAUGCAACCUGGCUUAUGCCCCCGAAAAGCAGGAGGUGGUGGUCAGCUACCUUCCUCUCAGCCACAUCGCAGCUCAGAUGAUGGACGUCUGGGUGCCCAUUAAGGUCGGGGCUUUCAUCUACUUUGCUGAACCAGACGCUCUCAAGGGCACCUUGGUCAACACCUUGCAAGAGGUAAAGCCUACUGCCUUCCUGGGGGUACCCCGAAUUUGGGAAAAGAUGCAUGAGAAGAUAAAGGAGGCUGUUGGCAAGUCUUCAAGCUUGAGGAAAAAGGUGUUUCUGUGGGCAAGGAAUAUUGGCUUAAAGGUCAACUCGAAAAGGAUGCUAGGGGAACAUGACCAUCCCAUGAGCUACCGCAUGGCAAGGGCACUCGUGUUCACCAAAAUCAAGAAUUCCCUUGGCCUGGAUCACUGCCGCAUUUUUAUCAGCGGGGCCGCACCCCUCAACCAGGAGACUUCUGAGUUCUUUUUAAGCCUGGACAUACCAAUAGGCGAGGUGUACGGUAUGAGUGAAAGCUCAGGACCCCACACCAUAUCCACCCCAGCAAACUACAAGUUACUAAGUUCUGGUAAAGUUGUGGCAGGGUGUAAGAACAUGCUGUACCAGCCGAGCAAGGAUGGCGUGGGGGAAGUCUGCCUCUGGGGCCGGCAUGUCUUCAUGGGCUACCUGGAGCAGGAGGACGCGACCAUGGAGGCCAUUGACGAGGAGGGCUGGCUCCACUCUGGGGACCUGGGCCGCAUGGACAACCAGGGCUUCCUCUUUAUCACCGGCCGCAUCAAAGAAAUCAUCAUCACAGCUGGUGGCGAGAAUGUGGCUCCCGUUCCCAUCGAGAACCUGGUUAAGGAGACGAUCCCCAUCAUUAGUAAUGCCAUGUUGGUGGGCGACAAGGCCAAGUUCCUGAGCAUCCUCCUGACACUGAAGUGCGAGGUUGACAAAAUGACCGGAGAGCCACUGGACACGCUGAACUGGGAGGCGAUCAAGUUCUGCCGGGAGGUGGGCAGCCAUGCGACCACAGUGUCUGAGAUCCUGGACCUGCGAGACCCCAUGGUCUACGCGGCCAUCCAGAAAGGCAUCAAUGCUGUCAACCAAAAAGCCAUCUCCAACGCACAGAAGAUUCAGAAGUGGGUCAUCUUGGAGAAGGACUUUACCAUCAGUGGCGGAGAGCUAGGUCCAACGACAAAGAUUAAACGACAUUUCAUCCUCCAGAAAUACAAAAGGCAGAUCUACAGCUUCUACCAGUGACGACUUUGGCGGAGCGGGUCCUGGCUGCCCUGAUGCCUGCAAGAGGAAGACCCUAUCACAGGGACUUGAGUCUCUUGUGUUACUAAGAAGCCACAUUCCCUGUGCAUCAGUCUCUGUCAUCCGCCUGUGGAAGAGGUAAACACUCAUGGACCAGCCAUACCUCUUGAAGCGACAAGAGGACUGGCAGAGACACCAGAGAAGAGAAGCCCGGAUUGAAGAAGAAACCGGGCCCCUACCCUCAUCUUCCUGGAAGCAACUUAGAAACCCGUCCAAUGAGUUCUGACAAUAAAGCUCUCUGGCACCCUGUGUCCUGA